rnacentral:rRNA from 1 species
CAGUAGCCACGGUAAUACGGAGGGUGCAAGCGUUAAUCGGAAUUACUGGGCGUAAAGCGCACGCAGGCGGUCUGUUAAGUCAGAUGUGAAAUCCCCGGGCUUAACCUGGGAACUGCAUUUGAAACUGGCAGGCUAGAGUCUUGUAGAGGGGGGUAGAAUUCCAGGUGUAGCGGUGAAAUGCGUAGAGAUCUGGAGGAAUACCGGUGGCGAAGGCGGCCCCCUGGACAAAGACUGACGCUCAGGUGCGAAAGCGUGGGGAGCAAACAGGAUUAGAUACCCCUGUAGUCCCUGUCUCUUAUAC